AAGGGUAUAGCUCAAGUGGUAGAGCACAUGCUUAGCAUGCACAAGGUCCUGGGUUCAAUCCUCAGUAUCUCCU
rnacentral:tRNA from 1 species